rnacentral:lncRNA from 1 species
UAUGUAAAUAACUCUUGACGGGAAGAAAAUAUAUUAAUGUAAGAUUAGUCUCCUAUCAGUGAACAGAACAAAUACAUCAUUUAAAUUUAUGUUCUACUUGGAGUUGCUGCAAAUAUAGCCCCAUUUUUUUUUACUUGUGAGAGAUGUGAUAGUUAAAGAAAUCUACUAAAGCAUGAUUUAUGGCACUCUUUCUAAUAUUGUACUUUUGUUAUAAAUUGUACUCUGACCUUUUUCUCAGGCACUCACGCCUCCCCUUCUUGCAGGAACCGUUUCCAUAAAGAGAUAUAUUGGCUUUUGAUAGAGACAUAAAGCAGAAAGAUUUUCAUUCUUUUUUUUUUAUUUUCAUUCUUAUAUGGCUAUAUUAUCAUUUGUUUAAGAGAUGGGAGGGAAAUUGAUCACUGAGAUGCAUGGAUUUGAACUUUAUAUCUGAUGCUUUAGAAUCUUAAAAAUAGGAAAGCACAGUUCUGAUCAA